rnacentral:rRNA from 1 species
AUGGACCAGCCUGGCAAGGGAUACACGACGGUGACGACGGCGCCGCCGAAGCGGCCGGCGGGGCGGACCAAGUUCAGCGAGACGCGGCACCCGGUGUACCACGGCGUGCGGCGCCGCGCGGGGCGGUGGGUGAGCGAGGUGCGCGAGCCCAACAAGAAGUCGCGCAUCUGGCUCGGCACCUUCGCCACCCCGGAGGCCGCCGCGCGCGCCCACGACGUGGCCGCCCUCGCCCUGCGCGGCCGCGGUGCCUGCCUCAACUUCGCCGACUCCGUGUCCCUGCUCGCCGUCGACCCCGCCACGCUCCGCACGCCCGAGGACAUCCGCACCGCCGCCAUCGCGCUCGCCGAGUCCGCGUGCCCCGCCGCGGCCCAGGCGUCCGCUUCAGAGUCCGCGCCGGCGAUGAUGACGAUGCAGGAGGCCGCGGCGGCGCCGUACGACGACGACUUGCAGUUCGUUGACAUGGACCAGCAUUCCUACUACUACGAUGGGAUGGGUGCUGGCGGCUACUGGAAUACAAAUGGGGACGACGAGGACGAUGACGACGGUGCCGGAGACAUCACGCUCUGGAGCUACUGA